rnacentral:misc_RNA from 1 species
UGGCAUUGUUGCCGACCUUUUGGAACACCUAAUCGAGGGCAAGUUCACUGAGCCCAGUCGAAUCCACAUUAUAGGCCAUAGUCUUGGAUCACAUGUUGCUGCUAGCGCUGGUCAUAAUAUUAUUCAAAUUACAAAUGAAAAAGUCAGUCGAAUUACAGGUCUUGAUCCAGCUAAGCCAGGGUUUGAAUUGGUUCCCCUUCGAUACGUUGAUAGUGAAAUUGUUAUGCUCAACAAGAGCCUGGCGCAGUUCUUGGAUGUGAUCCAUACAUGUGAUAAUAUUCUCGGAAUCUAUGAAGGAAUCGGCCAUGCUGACUUCUAUCCGAAUGGUGGAAGUCACACUCAACCUGGAUGCUCAUCAUUCUCAGUAGCUUGCAGUCAUGGUAGAGCUUAUGACUACUUUGUGCAGAGCAUUCUCCUGAUGAAUUCUACCAAGUCUCACUUUGUUUCAACUCGGUGUGACUCUUAUUCAGACUUUCUCAAUGGAGCCUGUGACAGCAAUCCGAAAAAUGUUAUGGGUGAAGCUGUGGAUCAAAGUAUCACAGGAUCUUUCCAACUAAUGACCACCAAUGAUCCACCUUACGCCAUCGAAGAAGGAGAUAACAGCUUGGGAUCGUCUAGUUACAGCUCUUGGUUUAGUUUUUGCAGAUCAAGUACAAGGAGGAAGUAAAAAGCCUGUGUUAGUGGAUUUCAUUCUAUAUUGCAGGGAUAGACCAAACGGCGAGUACAUUAAUGUUACUACUCCAACUGAGAAAUUACUCGAAUACUUCACUAAACCGGAAUGCAUUAAAUGCAUUGUUCAUGGGUGGAUGCAAAACGCCUUCACACCAGUAAUUCAAGAUAUUAUGAAAGCUUAUUUGUUGAAGACGGAAUGCUAUGUGAUAGUGGUCAACUGGAAUUAUGAGGCCAAGGAAAAUUAUAUUGCUGCAAUCAAGUUUAUUAGAGGAGUUGGCGAAUUAAUUGCAGAUUUGUUACUCAGAUUGCGAUUUUUGAAGCGUUGUUUUCUGAACUCACUUCAUUUAAUUGGCCACAGUCUCGGUUGUCAUGUGGUCGGAUAUGCUGCAAGAUUUGUCCAUGAGAAAACUGAUUACAAAGCUAAGAUAGGAAGGGUAACAGGUCUUGAUUGUGCCAACCCUGGGUUUGAAACUUUAAGAAUUUCGCAACCAAUGGGUAGAGGAGAUGCCACUUAUUUUGAUGCCAUUCAUACUUGUAGCGGGUUACUUGGAAUGAGUAAAUCAAUAGGAGACUUUGACUUUAGGUGUAAUAAAGGGAAGCAUCCUCAACCAGGGUGUAAAAUUAUGGAUGUUACAUGCAGCCAUCAAAAAUCCUGCUAUUACUUCAAAGAAAGCAUUAUGGAAGGAGAAAAGGCUUUUAAGGCACACUUAUGCGAUUCGAAGAAGGACUUCGAGAAUGGAAAUUGUGAUUAUAAUCCGACUGCCCAUAUGGGAGAGCAUCUCAAAUUAAAUGAUUCAGUACCUGGCGAUUACUACUUGGAGACAAAAUCAGACUCGCCUUAUACAUUGAGUUGAUCAAGCUUUAAUAAUACUUGUAGCACUAGCAGUAACCGUUAGUGAAUAACAGUAAAGUAACAUAGUGAUUACUAUUAUUUGUUGGAAUAAUACAUUGUAUUGUAUGAGGGAUUGAGAGGUAUUUCAUAUUCAUUAUUACAUAAAAUGUCGAUAACUUUGAUGCAAGUUCUGUUAUUAGUUGAGACGGUUUCAAAUAGCAUUCAAGGUUCAUUGUAUCAACGUUAUCGUCAUGUCAUGAGUUGCAUAAGUGAUAAUGAUAACAUUUCUCCCAAUCCACCAUACAAUGCAUGAUACUAUUUCAACAAAUAUAACAGUACUCACUACUUCUUGUGUAUCUUCACGAUAGAUAAAUAACGUAAUUCCUAAGAAUAUAUGUAAUAUUGGUACAAGAUCAAGUUGUAUCUUGAAGGAAUGACGUUCAACUAUUUCAUGUUACUGUUUAAUGUGUUCACAGUAAAAUUGUUUCUUAUCA